rnacentral:rRNA from 138 species
AUUCUGGUGUCCUAGGCGUAGAGGAACCACACCAAUCCAUCCCGAAUUUGGUGGUUAAACUCUACUGCGGUGACGAUACUGUAGGGGAGGUCCUGCGGCAAAAUAGCUCGAUGCCAGAAUGAUAAAAAGCUUAACACCUC